rnacentral:tRNA from 1 species
GCAGCCAUAGCUCAGUUGGUAGAGCAUUCGCCUAGAUAGCGAAAAACUCCCAAGUUCAAGCCUGGGUGGAGGCA